rnacentral:rRNA from 1 species
GGCUUAGUACUAACGCUGGCAGUGCGUCUUAAGCAUGCAAGUCAAACGGGAUGUAGCAAUACAUCUAGUGGCGAACGGGUGAGUAACGCGUGGAUGAUCUACCUACGAGAUGGGGAUAACUAUUAGAAAUAGUAGCUAAUACCGAAUAAAGUCAAUUAAUUUGUUAAUUGAUGAAAGGAAGCCUUUAAAGCUUCGCUUGUAGAUGAGUCUGCGUCUUAUUAGCUAGUUGGUAGGGUAAAUGCCUACCAAGGCGAUGAUAAGUAACCGGCCUGAGAGGGUGAACGGUCACACUGGAACUGAGAUACGGUCCAGACUCCUACGGGAGGCAGCAGCUAAGAAUCUUCCGCAAUGGGCGAAAGCCUGACGGAGCGACACUGCGUGAAUGAAGAAGGUCGAAAGAUUGUAAAAUUCUUUUAUAAAUGAGGAAUAAGCUUUGUAGGAAAUGACGAAGUGAUGACGUUAAUUUAUGAAUAAGCCCCGGCUAAUUACGUGCCAGCAGCCGCGGUAAUAGGUA